GGGGGGCGUACAUGGCAGUCCGACGAGAAUCUUAUGUGUGAUCCCUUCNGGGGUGAACUUUUAAGAGGAAAGUGGCGGACGUGCGAGUAACGCGUGAGUAACCUGCCCAUAAGAGGGGGAUAAUCCAUGGAAACGUGGACUAAUACCGCAUAUUGAAUAUUUACCGCAUGGUAGAUAUUUGAAAGAUUUAUCGCUUAUGGAUGGACUCGCGUCAGAUUAGCUGGUUGGUGAGGUAAUGGCUCACCAAGGCGACGAUCUGUAGCCGAACUGAGAGGUUGAUCGGCCGCAUUGGGACUGAGACACGGCCCAGACUCCUACGGGAGGCAGCAGUGGGGAAUAUUGCGCAAUGGGGGGAACCCUGACGCAGCAACGCCGCGUGCAGGAAGAAGGUCUUCGGAUUGUAAACUGUUGUCGCAGGGGAAGAAGACAGUGACGGUACCCUGUGAGAAAGUCACGGCUAACUACGUGCCAGCAGCCGCGGUAAUACGUAGGUGACAAGCGUUGUCCGGAUUUACUGGGUGUAAAGGGCGCGUAGGCGGAUGUGCAAGUCAGUCGUGAAAUACCGGGGCUCAACCCCGGGGCUGCGAUUGAAACUGCACACCUUGAGUAUCGGAGAGGAAAGCGGAAUUCCUAGUGUAGCGGUGAAAUGCGUAGAUAUUAGGAGGAACACCAGUGGCGAAGGCGGCUUUCUGGACGAUAACUGACGCUGAGGCGCGAAAGUGUGGGGAGCAAACAGGAUUAGAUACCCUG
rnacentral:rRNA from 1 species